ACGAGUAUGCCGUAAUUUGGUAGCCGGGUGAAUCUUAGGAAUUCAUGUUAAUUCUAACGUAAGAGUUCAAAUCUCUUUACUCGUA
rfam:Pisolithus tinctorius Marx 270 unplaced genomic scaffold scaffold_387, whole genome shotgun sequence.